UACGUAGGUGGCAAGCGUUAUCCGGAAUUAUUGGGCGUAAAGAGCGCGCAGGUGGUUGAUUAAGUCUGAUGUGAAAGCCCACGGCUUAACCGUGGAGGGUCAUUGGAAACUGGUCGACUUGAGUACAGAAGAGGAGAGUGGAAUUCCACGUGGAGCGGUGAAAUGCGUAGAGAUGUGGAGGAACACCAGUGGCGAAGGCGACUCUCUGGUCUGUAACUGACGCUGAGGUGCGAAAGCGUGGGUAGCGAACAGGAUUAGAUA
rnacentral:rRNA from 1 species